rnacentral:rRNA from 1 species
GAGCAGAGGCCCCCAAGCGUUUAGGCGGGAAUCACUGGCUUAAAGCGUGUGCAGGCGGAUCGUUAAAGUGUCUUGUGAAAUCCCCACGGCUCACCCGUGGAACUGCUGGGCAUACUGGCGAUCUUGGGCCAACUAGGGGCAGUCGGAACAAGCGGUGGAGCGGUGAAAUGCGUAGAUAUCGCUUGGAACGCCGAAGGUGAAAACAGACUGCUGGGGUUGCGCCGACGCUGGAGACACGAAAGCCAGGGGAGCAAACGGG